rnacentral:lncRNA from 1 species
UGAAGCAGCAGCUAUGCAUGUAACCUCUGGGGCUGUCCUAGAAGUUACCGAUUAAGUCUUCAUUCCCUGCUUGGCUCCCUCCUGGAGGACCCAAGAGUCCUUUCUGUAGCCCAGCUUCAGCUUCACUCACCCUCCCUUCCUUAGUCUAUUCUGUGUCUCGUUUGCAUGCCCGGUAGUAAAAGAAAUCCCCCUCUCUCACUUCCCUGCUAAGGUUUUGGGCCUCCUGUAGCAAGCCUCAGAAAAACUUGAGUGAGCCCUUAGGGCCUCCAGCCCUGGCUAAAAAUAAACGAAGGAAAAAAACAAACAAAAACCUGAAAGUCAGGCUGGUGAAAGCCAGGAAGUGAAAAGGAAGGGGCAGGAAUCUUGAGGCUCCGGGGGAGGGGA